GACGUAGGGGGCGAGCGUUGUCCGGAGUCACUGGGCGUAAAGGGCGCGUAGGCGGUCUAGCAAGUCAGGUGUCAAAGACCACGGCUCAACCGUGGAGGUGCACCUGAAACUGCUAGGCUAGAGGGCAGGAGAGGGGAGUGGAAUUCCCGGUGUAGCGGUGAAAUGCGUAGAUAUCGGGAGGAAUACCAGUGGCGAAAGCGACUCCCUGGACUGACCCUGACGCUGAGGCGCGAAAGCGUGGGGAGCAAACAGG
rnacentral:rRNA from 1 species